rnacentral:tRNA from 1 species
AGGCAGUUAGUAUACUAAUACGUUAGUUUGUCAUGCUAAAGAUGCUUUUUGAGCACUGCCUU